UACGUAGGGUCCAAGCGUUAUCCGGAAUCACUGGGCGUAAAGCGUGCGUAGGUGGAUUGUUAAGUGCAAUGCGAAAUCCUGUGGCUCAACCAUAUGGACUGUAUUGCAUACUGGCAAUCUGGAGGACGGCAGAGGCAAGUGGAAUUACUGGUGUAGCAGUGAAAUGCGUAGAUAUCAGUAGGAACACCAAUGGCGAAGGCAGCUUGCUGGGCCGUAUCUGACGCUAAGGCACGAAAGCGUGGGGGAGCGAAACAGG
rnacentral:rRNA from 1 species